UUCAACAUGCAGGAAGUGUAAGGAAUAAAGUCUUUAAGUUCAGGUGUGCUGCUGGCCCUGUUAGGAGGGGGAAAAGAGUCAGCGGAGGAAAUUGGGUCCGUUACUCCUAGUCAUCAAUCUGUAGCAACGUGCUACAGUCGACCAAGCGAUGCUUGUGUUUUGGCUGUAUUUGGGGUCAGACAGCCC